UGAGUACGAGAUGCUACGGCAUCGAAGCAGUCUAUGUCAUACUUCCAAGAAAAGCUUGCAAUGUCAUAAACAAAUAAUGCCUGUACCAUAACCGACACAGGUGGGUAGGUAGAGUAUACUAAGGGGCGCGAGAUAACUCUCUCUAAGGAACUCGGCAAAAUGACUCCGUAACUUCGGGAGAAGGAGUGCCUUAUUUUUAUAAGGUUGCAAUAACAAGGUCCAAGCAACUGUCUACCAAAAACACAGGUCUCCGCUAAGUCGUAAGACGAUGUAUGGGGGCUGACGCCUGCCCAGUGCCAGAAGGUUAAAGAAGUUGGUUAGCAUUAGCGAAGCUGAUAACUGAAGCCCUGGUGAACGGCGGCCGUAACUAUAACGGUCCUAAGGUAGCGAAAUUCCUUGUCGGGUAAGUUCCGACCCGCACGAAAGGCGUAAUGAUUUGGAUACUGUCUCGGAGAGGGGCUCGGUGAAAUAGACUUGUCUGUGAAGAUGCGGACUACCUGCACCUGGACAGAAAGACCCUAUGAAGCUUUACUGUAACUUGAGAUUGAAAUUGGACUUUAUCUGCGCAGUAUAGGUGGGAGACGUUGAAAAUAUUCUUGCGGGAAUAUUGGAGUCAUCAGUGAGAUACCACUCUUAUAAUGUUAGAUUUCUAACUUUGUAUCAUUAUCUGGUCAAAGAACAGUUUCAGGCGGGCAGUUUGACUGGGGCGGUCGCCUCCCAAACGGUAACGGAGGCGCACAAAGGUUUCCUCUGAACGUGUAGAAAUCGUAUCUAGAGUGUAAAGGCAUAAGGAAGCUUGACUGUGAGACCUACAAGUCGAGCAGGGACGAAAGUCGGUCUUAGUGAUCUGACGGUGCUGAGUGGAAAGGCCGUCACUCAACGGAUAAAAGUUACUCUAGGAUAACAGGCUGAUCUCCCCCAAGAGUUCACAUCGACGGGGAGGUUUGGCACCUCGAUGUCGGCUCAUCGCAUCCUGGGGCGGUAGUACGUCCCAAGGGUUGGGCUGUUCGCCCAUGAAAGCGGUACGCGAGCUGGGUUCAGAACGUCGUGAGACAGUUCGGUCCAUAUCCGGUGUAGGCGUUAGAAUAUUGAGAGGAGCCUUCUUUAGUACGAGAGGACCGAGAAGGACAUACCUCUGGUGUACCAGUUAUCGUGCCAACGGUAAACGCUGGGUAGCCAUGUAUGGAGAGGAUAACCGCUGAAAGCAUCUAAGUGGGAAGCCCACCUCAAGAUAAGUAUUC
rnacentral:rRNA from 1 species